CAGAGAAGAUUUUUUGAAGAUGAGCAGUUGAAUCAUAACCCUUCGAAAAAAACAAAUCACUUUUAAUAACGCCUUCCGCUCCACACAUCAAACGCUGUCUUGCAAUUAUAUUCGAGACAUUCACCGAAACAUCAUAGCCUAUUCAGCUGAAGCGCAGCGGUUCUCACUGCGUUAUUUUCCAAGGAUACACGAGGAUACAACAUAAGAAUGUGAACAGUCUUAUUUAUCUGAAGUGAAGCUAUGACAUGGGAAUAAGCAUCCGUUAUGGUCACAUCACGCAAAGCGUCCCAACAUUUUUGGAAACGUGGUUGUACAUGGACUCCUGUCUACCCUGGUUGACGGAACUGAGCAGAGUUGGUGUACUAAACAGUGGUCUCUCAUCAACUAUUUGUGCCAUACUACCGCAGUGUUUACAGGGGCUGACUGAGUGCCGGAAUGUGUGACCCACCUCUACAGUUCAUAAUGAGAUGAUUAUGGAAAAGAGUGAAAUUAUUUGGGUAUUUGUAAAACAGCAGCCACACAUCAAUUAUCAUGUCAGCAGAAUAAGACCCUCUGGAAUUAUUGGAAAGGCGAAACACCAUGCACUUUCAAUACUCUGUGAAGUUCAUCAUAAUUUAUUUACUCUUUAGCCAACUAAAUACGUAAUUUCCCCAGUUGGGGGAGGACAACACAACAAAAUUAUCUUGAGAUUCAAAGUUUUGUUUUAAUAUGAUGAUUAUCACAUGAUUGCACAUAAACACAUUUUCACAUCCAUUUUUCACUUUUUAUUUUUUACUGGAGUUAUGUACUUUGCUAACAUAAAGGGUGCUAAAAUCAUUUCUAGUUAUUUGCCAGGGGAGUCUCCUUGUCUCCAGUUUGAUUCACAUGAUUUCACCUGUGCAGACGCAACUGAUAUUUUAAGAGAUGGUUCAAUCUAAAACUAUAUACGUGUGAAAUGAUGGUGUCGUAUUUUACGAUAGGCCAUUCUUUACUUCUUUCCCUCCCUAGUGUUAGCAUCAUUACAUUGGUCCAAAUUCAUGAAUUGUAACUGUGCAAUCCACAAAAUCUGCACUGCAAGUGGAAAAUGUUGCAAGUGGAAAUAAAGAGUGGCAAAUGUAGUGAUUAAUUUGACACCAGAGCUUCUGACAGAGCCAACAGUUGAUC